rnacentral:rRNA from 1 species
AGUCGCGGGGCAGCGGGGGAUGCAGCAAUACAUUCUGCCGGCGACCGGCGCAAGGGUGCGUAACGCGUGAGCAACAUGCCCGUCUCAGGGGGAUAACCGGUGGAAACGCCGCCUAAUACCCCAUGGCGAUAUAUUGAGGCAUCUUGAUAUAUCUAAAGCUCCGGCGGAGACGGAUUGGCUCGCGUGACAUUAGCUGGACGGCGGGGUAACGGCCCACCGUGGCUACGAUGUCUAGGGGUUCUGAGAGGAAGGUCCCCCACACUGGAACUGAGACACGGUCCAGACUCCUACGGGAGGCAGCAGUGAGGAAUAUUGGUCAAUGGGCGGGAGCCUGAACCAGCCAUGCCGCGUGAAGGCGAGUGCCCUACGGGCGUUAAACUUCUUUUGUGCGGGAGCAAUAAGGGCCACGCGUGGCCCGAUGAGAGUACCGCACGAAUAAGCAUCGGCUAACUCCGUGCCAGCAGCCGCGGUAAUACGGGGGAUGCGAGCGUUAUCCGGAUUUAUUGGGUUUAAAGGGUGCGUAGGCGGCGCUUCAGGUCAGCGGUGAAAUACCGGGGCUCAACCCCGGGGCUGCCGUUGAAACCGGAGCGCUAGAAUUCCGAUGCCGUCGGAGGAAUGUGUGGUGUAGCGGUGAAAUGCAUAGAUAUCACACAGAACACCGAUUGCGAAGGCAUCUGACGAAUCGGAGAUUGACGCUGAUGCACGAAAGCGUGGGUAUCGAACAGGAUUAGAUACCCUGGUAGUCCACGCUGUAAACGAUGAUGACUAGCCGUCGGCGAUACAGUGUCGGUGGUCAAGCGAAAGCGAUAAGUCAUCCACCUGGGGAGUACGGCCGCAAGGCUGAAACUCAAAGGAAUUGACGGGGGCC